rnacentral:rRNA from 1 species
ACUCCUGCGGGAGGCAGCAGUGGGGAAUAUUGGACAAUGGGCGCAAGCCUGAUCCAGCCAUGCCGCGUGAGUGAUGAAGGCCCUAGGGUUGUAAAGCUCUUUCACCGGAGAAGAUAAUGACGGUAUCCGGAGAAGAAGCCCCGGCUAACUUCGUGCCAGCAGCCGCGGUAAUACGAAGGGGGCUAGCGUUGUUCGGAAUUACUGGGCGUAAAGCGCACGUAGGCGGAUCGAUCAGUCAGGGGUGAAAUCCCAGGGCUCAACCCUGGAACUGCCUUUGAUACUGUCGAUCUGGAGUAUGGAAGAGGUGAGUGGAAUUCCGAGUGUAGAGGUGAAAUUCGUAGAUAUUCGGAGGAACACCAGUGGCGAAGGCGGCUCACUGGUCCAUUACUGACGCUGAGGUGCGAAAGCGUGGGGAGCAAACAGGAUUAGAUACCCCUGUAGUCCC